GUCCAUAUAGCUCAGCUGGAUAGAGCACACGCCUCCUAAGCGGUAGAUGGUUCGAGUCUAAAUUUUGCAUA
rnacentral:tRNA from 1 species